UUGGUUUGUUACGGGUGGUUGGAUGUCUUCUAGCGAAGCAACUUCCACGCGUGCUUACCUCUUCAUUUAUGUAGCAAGACUUGUUUUGUUUUGCUCGUAGUGUGGGUUUCCUGUGUUGCGUACCUAAAAGAAGGCAUUGUAUGGACCGAUCGAAGCCAUUUUCGUCAUGCAUCACAAUUGUGGUGUGUGACGGACUAAGAAGUGGUCUUUGUAACCCACGUCGUGUUGUUAUCACUUCGUCGAUGUGGUUUGCUAAGUUCUGCUUGGUCUCUUGGAUACUGAACCUGAUGUGGGCAUGGGAUCCUAAACAAUCCUUUUUUGCCCUCGUUUAGCGUUCUCGCUUCUCUAAACGAUCACUCAUCAUGCAUUGGCAUGUCCAUGCAUGGUGGGUUGCAUCGAAGAGGAAUGCUACCUGGUUGAUCCUGCCAGUAGUCAUAUGCUUGUCUCAA
rnacentral:misc_RNA from 1 species